rnacentral:rRNA from 1 species
AUACGGAGGGUGCAAGCGUUACUCGGAAUCACUGGGCGUAAAGCGCGCGCAGGCGGUUUUUUAAGUUGGAUGUGAAAUCCUAUAGCUUAACUAUAGAACUGCAUCCAAAACUAUUAGACUAGAGUCUGGGAGAGGUAAGUGGAAUUAGUUGUGUAGGGGUAAAAUCCGUAGAGAUAACUAGGAAUACCAAAAGCGAAGGCAACUUACUGGAACAGUACUGACGCUGAGGCGCGAAAGCGUGGGGAGCAAACAGGAUUAGAAACCCCAGUAGUCC